UGCAUAUCAAAAAGCGGAGGAAAAGAAACCAACCGGGAUUGCCUUAGUAACGGCGAGUGAAGCGGCAAAAGCUCAAAUUUGAAAUCUGGUACCUUCGGUGCCCGAGUUGUAAUUUGGAGAGGGCAACUUUGGGGCCGUUCCUUGUCUAUGUUCCUUGGAACAGGACGUCAUAGAGGGUGAGAAUCCCGUGUGGCGAGGAGUGCGGUUCUUUGUAAAGUGCCUUCGAAGAGUCGAGUUGUUUGGGAAUGCAGCUCUAAGUGGGUGGUAAAUUCCAUCUAAAGCUAAAUAUUGGCGAGAGACCGAUAGCGAACAAGUACAGUGAUGGAAAGAUGAAAAGAACUUUGAAAAGAGAGUGAAAAAGUACGUGAAAUUGUUGAAAGGGAAGGGCAUUUGAUCAGACAUGGUGUUUUGUGCCCUCUGCUCCUUGUGGGUAGGGGAAUCUCGCAUUUCACUGGGCCAGCAUCAGUUUUGGUGGCAGGAUAAAUCCAUAGGAAUGUAGCUUGCCUCGGUAAGUAUUAUAGCCUGUGGGAAUACUGCCAGCUGGGACUGAGGACUGCGACGUAAGUCAAGGAUGCUGGCAUAAUGGUUAUAUGCCGCCCGUCUUGAAACCACGGACCA
rnacentral:rRNA from 1 species